rnacentral:rRNA from 1 species
CGGCGUACGGGUGAGUAACACGUGGAUAACCUACCUAUAAGACUGGGAUAACUUCGGGAAACCGGAGCUAAUACCGGAUAAUAUAUUGAACCGCAUGGUUCAAUAGUGAAAGACGGUUUUGCUGUCACUUAUAGAUGGAUCCGCGCCGCAUUAGCUAGUUGGUAAGGUAACGGCUUACCAAGGCAACGAUGCGUAGCCGACCUGAGAGGGUGAUCGGCCACACUGGAACUGAGACACGGUCCAGACUCCUACGGGAGGCAGCAGUU